rnacentral:rRNA from 1 species
CCUACGGGUGGCAGCAGUAGGGGAUCUUUCACAAUGGGCGAAAGCCUGAUGGAGCAACGCCGCGUGCAGGAUGAAGUACUUCGGGUUGUAAACUGCUUUUAUAAGCGAGGAAUAUGAUGGUGACUUCUGAAUAAGGAUCGGCUAACUACGUCCCAGCAGCCGCGGUCAUACGUAGGAUCCGAGCAUUAUCCGGAGUGACUGGGUGUAAAGAGUUGCGUAGGUGGCAUAAUAAGUAGCUAGUGAAAUCGGGUGGCUCAACCAUUCAGACUAUUAGGUAAACUGUUAAGAUCGAGACCGUUAGGGGUAAGUGGAAUUUCUAGUGUAGGAGUGAAAUCCGUAGAUAUUAGAAGGAACACCAAUAGCGUAGGCAGGUUGCUGGGACGGUUCUGACAUUAAGGCACGAAAGCGUAGGGAGCAAACGGGAUUAGAUACCCGUGUAGUC